AAUAAUAAUAAUAAUAGACAUCAAUGCCUCAGUAUACUUUUACUUUGAAGUUGUUUCCGGCAGCGUGUUGCAUCGUAAUGGCUGACUUGACUCGCUGUCCAGACUCUGAGGCAAUGUCGUCACAAAUUGCUGCGACUUCCUAUCGACUGGGACGACACAACGGCGUCGUCAACUAAGGUUCAGUCGCUGGUUAAGGUUGCUAAAAAAAAACGACUUAAUUACGCUGACACUGUAUUCUACAUGGCACCUCCUUUGACGAGGACCUGUCACUGCAGCCCAAAGGCAAGAAGAAGAAAAAG